GGAAAAUGCCUGUUUAACAAUUCAGAUUAAAAAAGCAACCAAAUGCUAACACUUUGCGUUCACAAGACACAGCAGAAUGUCUUAGCCUAAUAAGCAUUGCCCUUAAGUUCGAUUUGCCAACUUCAAAAUAUGAAUUUAAGUAUUUCAUUUCAGCAGGAGGGCAAAAUUAAAUUCUAAGGCAAAAUGCUUAUGCACAGAAUAUAAGUUCAGCAGUGGUGAUAAUGGAAGUUAAACAUUUAAAACUUACCUCUUUAAAUUGUUUCCUUUCCACCUAUGCUGUUGAUGAUUUUCAUUUAGCUACCUUUUUCAUUAUUGGAUAAUGUAUACCUAUAACUAGAAUUCUUACCAAAUCUGCCUCCUUACAAAUUCAAAGAGCAACACCGUUAAUUCUCUGCUCAGGACAAAGAACGCAGCAUGUUAUUUUUAUGUAUCAUUAGGAAAAAAAACGAUAGAGGAAAUGAACCAGGGGAACAGAAAAACAAAAUAAGAAGUGAAAUCCAAGUUUCUAAUGCAGAGAUGGAAUGCCAAUAAACUGUUCCAAAGAAACUGUUUAGCUGCAAGCUUUUCAACCUGUUGCCAAGAAAACACUGCUGUGUUCACUGAUCCUAUCAUUAAACCAGCAGAAAUGCUAAGUCACGGCCCAAGCCAGUGAUGGAACACCUGGUGGGAAGGCAGGGCCAGCCCAACGAGCUCAGGUGCGUGCAAUGCAAUGCACUGAGUGACCGGAAGGGUUGAGCCAGGAUCCACACUUCCCAGCCCUCUCAUUGGAGAUCCCUGCAUGCCUGAGGCCUUCCAAAGGUGGAUGAGUUCUGCACUUCAGCUCCCUGCUAGCCCAUGGGCAGCUAUGCCAG
ensembl:lncRNA